CUACGGGGGGCACCAGUGGGGAAUAUUGCACAAUGGGCGCAAGCCUGAUGCAGCCAUGCCGCGUGUAUGAAGAAGGCCUUCGGGUUGUAAAGUACUUUCAGCGGGGAGGAAGGGAGUAAAGUUAAUACCUUUGCUCAUUGACGUUACCCGCAGAAGAAGCACCGGCUAACUCCGUGCCAGCAGCCGCGGUAAUACGGAGGGUGCAAGCGUUAAUCGGAAUUACUGGGCGUAAAGCGCACGCAGGCGGUUUGUUAAGUCAGAUGUGAAAUCCCCGGGCUCAACCUGGGAACGGCAUCUGAUACUGGCAAGCUUGAGUCUCGUAGAUGGGGGUAGAAUGCCAGGUGUAGCGGUGAAAUGCGUAGAGAUCUGGAGGAAUACCGGUGGCGAAGGCGGCCCCCUGGACGAAGACUGACGCUCAGGUGCGAAAGCGUGGGGAGCAAACAGGAUUAGAUACCCCGGUAGUC
rnacentral:rRNA from 1 species